GUUCAACACAUGCCUACCCAAAGCUGGCUCCAUUUCGACCAGCCGGACAGCUCCUCUCUCCGCCUUUGCUGCUCUCGGUCUUCUUGCAUUCCUGUUUCACCUGCAUUGUGCAGGUCUGUGCAUUUCUCUAUGUGAAGCAACAACCCUGGUAUUGUGAGGUCUACCGAGACGCGUGAGUUCAUUUUCUUAGCUUUCCAUUCUGAUGAUGUAAUUAGAUAUAGCUUGGUUCAAACAUAUAUCCUAAAAUUUUAAUAAACAAAAAUUGAGUCUCCAUGCUUCAAAACACAAAUGAUAAAACAGAAAACAGUUAAUAGUGGAGUUCUGGAUGAGCCAUGUGGAGAGGGUGUGGAAGAUCUGUCACACUGCUGAUUGAUGUGUACAUCUCUCAGCGGGUUGACUGUGUGAAUUAUCCAUUCCUUAGUAGUUUGAAUUUCCCAUAGACCAAGGGCUGGGAAACAUUUCCUGUAGAUGAGCCAGACAGUAGAUAUUUUAGGUUUUGUGAUCUGGAUGGUCUCUGUUGCAAUCAGUCAAUUCCACUGUUACAGUACAAAAGCAGCCAUAGACAAUAUGUAAAUAAGUGGGCGUGGCCAUGUUCCAAUAAAGCUUUGUUUAUAAAAACAGGUGGUACAUUGGAUUGGCCUGUGGGCUAUAGUUUGCUGGUCCCUGAAACAGCCAUACAGAGAGAUUAGCUUAAAUUAAUUUGGAUUUUUCCAAUGAACAUUACAAUUAAAUGUUAGUUGAUGGUAUUGUUGCUCUGAUGGAAUUGGAACAUUAGACUGAAGAAAAGUCUCUUUACCUCCUAGGCUUUCUUUGUUUAACUAUAUAAAUCAAAGGUAAGAUGAAGUAAACUUUAUCAUAGAUGCGAAAACUUUAAUUUUUCUGAGGAAGCCUCCUUGACCCUAAAAGAAAACAGGAAAAGAGCUUUCUGGAAAAGUGCAUGCACACAUAUUACACCCCGUCCUCCCACCACUGUGAGAGUGAAGGCAUCAGAAACCCAGAAAUCAGUGAAACUCAUAUGGAAAACUAUCAAAUGAUGUCUAAGGUUGUUGUUUAGAUCUCAAAUUCAGCAAUUUGAGUAUUACUUGAAGUACAGAACCUUGUUUAGACUCAAAACCAGAUUCCCCUCUCCCCCAAAUUGGAGUGCAUACACUCACUCUAUCAGUCAAAUUCUGAUAGAAACCACAGUGUGGUGAAUAGGGAAUGGAGAAGAAAUAGGGAUAGUUCUGCUUCUAUCCCUAACUGGCUGUACAAUACUGGUCAACUGUAAUUCAGCCCAUCUAAUCUAUUUGUCUAUUUGCUAUUUGUCUAUUUGUGUGUGUGUGUGCAAGAAUGUGAGUUCUGAUCCUUUGUUCCAAGGGUUUAUUUUGCAAACAUUAACUGGACAUCUACUAUAUCAAAGCACAUUUCUGGGCCCUAGGGAGCCCAGGAUAGUGAUUUUAAGUCUUGCAUUUGAAUUUACAAUUGGAGAAUUAAUCUUAUCAAUAAAGUUAUAAUAGUAAUUAUAAACUUUCAAGCUGAAGAAGAAAGCUAAUAGAAAAUAAUGUAUAGGUUUUAUUAUUGGGGGGAGAACAAAAAAGAAGAGGAUGAAAAAAAAAAGUCAGGACUGGGAAAUCCUGAAUCUUAUGCAAGCAUUUUUCUGAGUAAAUAUUAUAUGACCCCACUGUACUGUGCCUAAGGAUUUCUUAUAAAUUUAAGUAAAACAAAACAAAUCAAAAUCAAAAGAAAAAUUCCAUAUUCAAGGAAAUCGUACCCCUCAGGUGGAAAAUAAUAAUAUAUCAACAAAAUCACUGCAAAAUAAUGAGCUAAAUGAGCAAUAGAGGGAAGAAUAGAAUGUGUUAGGUUCACUUCCCAGUAAAAGUAAUGUUAAAUAUAAUGAUAUUUGAAAGGUAAGUGCUACUUCAGUUAAAGGGAACAUGCCAAUUUGAUCAGUUUGCAAACUGUGGCAUUUUAGGAACAGGGGAUAAUCCCAUCUGUCAGGAGUGUAAGGAGAGUGAGAGAAGUGACAAAAGAUGACAACGAAAUUGGGGGUCGAAAAGGGAUGUGAAGGUCUCCUAGAUCGGUCUGAAAAAUUUCCUUAAUUUAUUGGCAAAAUGGCGUAUAAAUUACGUACCUCAUCAUAGGAAGCACAUCAUGUUCAGGAAGACUUUUUUCUAUAUAAGGAGAGAGGAUUAGAGUAGGGAGAUUCAAACUCAGGACAUAGGAGGCUCCCCGUAGUGCAUGAAGAAGAACACACACACACACACACACACACAUCCAAUUCACAUGGUAUAUUUACUCUUUGAAUUGAAAGAAAUUUCUUAGAAAAUUGUCAUCCAAGCCCUUUCAAGACUUGCCCUUAAUGUAAUGCCACAGACCGAUCCUGACAUCCUCUGAAUUUUAUUUCUUCUUUGUCAUUGCAACAAGUUAACAGAAUGUCUUGGUAGUUACCAACUGGAACAGGUUGAAACCUGAGGUCCCAGGGUAGUGAUUAACUUUUUUUUUUCAUCUAAUGUAUUAAAAAUAGAAUUGAAAGUUCCAUAACUGCUGGCAAUUCCUUUGUAGUGAGUGCUUCCUGGCCAACCCAAGUAAUUUCUCAUCCAAUGUGAGUUUGGAAAGAAACUGGACUAGAAAUGCAACUCUGAUUCCUGGUUCAAUUUUAAGUUUUGAGACUACCACACUGUGGCCCAUUGUCACCUUCAACUGCAUCACAGUAGCAUUCAUCUUUUCUAAGGGAAAACCAUUUCGAAAACCUAUCUACACAAACUGUAAGUAUAUAAAAUUUAAUUAUUUUUUUGGUUCUGAAUACUUAUCUCCUCCCCACCCUUCCCAGAAUUUUAAGUUACUAAUGAAGAAGAAAAUAAUUGCAUUAUUUCAGAAUGAAUAUUGGAUGUGAUGGUCAUGGGUGGUAGAACCCCAGGCAAAACUUGCACAUCUGCAGAUGAACACAGACACUGUUCAACGGUCACAGGAGUCCUUUUCUAUUGGAAGCCACCAAGAAUCAUUUUAAGCACAAGCAUAUAUGCCACAGUGUUUUUGGAAAAGGGUUUGAACCAAUUCAACUACAAGUUGACCCCUUGGUAACUUCAGAAUAUUGAAGAAAUCAUCGUAACCAUUCAUUCUGGGCCCCUAUUUCCUCAUCUGUAGAAAGUGAGUCCUCAGGGAAAACUGCAUGAGGAAUUUCAUGUGAAAGGGUCCAGCGCUUUUAUUAGGGACUCAAAAAUUCUUAUUUACUUCCCUAGUAUGUUCAUCUAAGUGAAUAAAAAAUGAGCACCCCCGCCCCCCCAAAAAAAAACUUUUCAAAGCUACAAUCAAGACCUUUACGCAGAAAAGCCAGAGAAUAUUUUCUGUUCCAAAAGACAGAGACACUGUUGAGAGUUAAAAGAAAACCAUGAUUGAUAAUCAUGCCAGGCUCAAACACCAAAUGGCUGAGCAAAAGAGGACUCAUGGUCACCCUGUUGAUGACCAUGCAACUGUUCCAAUAGUUCGGUAUUAUAAAUAUGGUAUAAAACUUACAUUGCUUUUCAUAAAGUUUGUACCAAUUUCAGUCCAAUCAUUCCUUUGGAAAGAGUUUGCUUCAGGCAGCAUAUCCAACAUGGGAAAUAAAAAAGAAAAUUCUUGUCAAGUCAAAUAAGACUUUUUAAACAUAAUCUCUCAUUUGGUUUUAAUUUGCAAUUUUUGAUUUUCAGUGAGGAUUAAAUACAUUUUCACAUCCCUAGCCAUCUCUUCUGUGAAAUGUCUAGGUACAUUUUUACAUCUAUUUAUUUCUUCUAUUGGAUUACUGUUACUUUCCUUAUUACCUGUGUAAGCUAUUUAUUCUUUUAUGGGUUUUUCCCCAUUUGCUUUAUACACAGAAAGUUUUUCUAAUUGUAAAGUAGGAUAGAUUAACACUGUGUAGUUUUAAAAAUUUCUUUUAGUGUUUUUUAAAAAAUCUAAUAUAAUUUUGGUACAUUUUUAUAGUAGGGAUCAAAUUAAUUUAUCCAACUAGUCAAUCAGUUUUUGUAGCAGACUUUUUUUGACUAUUGAGUAUUUAAUAUCCUUUCAUUCAUUUGUUCCUUAGCCAAGCACAAUGCCAACUUCAUCAUACCUCUAUUCACAUGUAUUUAUGAUUUUAUUAUAAUUUAUAUUACAUAUGUUUAUAUAUAUAUAUAUAUAUAUAUAUAUAUAUAUAUAUAUAUAUAUAUAUAAUUUACUCCAGACUGUCUUUUGUGUUCCAUUGAUAUGCCAACCAGUCUAUUUUUGAUCUUUCACUAUAUUUUAACAAUUAUAAUUUUAUAAGAUUUUUUUAGUAAGUAGCAAGAUUAGUGUAGCCUCAUUUUCUCAACUUUCUAAAAACUUUUGAGUCUCAAGUGUUCUAGAAAGACAGGUACUAAUAAUAGCUAGCUAUAAUAUUCCUUCUUCAUUUCCCAUAACUAGAAUGUAUGCCCCUAUUUUCUAUCUUAGUAUAUAGUCCAGAACUUCUAGGACAAUCUUAAACAAUAGCAGGAUAGUAGAUAGCUCCACCCCUUGAUAGAAAUAGUUCUAGUAGUUUUCAUUCAUAAAUAUGACUGAAUACUGGUGCAAGGUAGCCCACCUCAUAUAAAGAAAAUACCCUUCUUUUACAGUUAAUCAAUAGUGUUUUUAAAUCAAAAAACAGGAGAUACAUUUCAUAGAAUGCCUUCCCAUGAUCUAUCUGUCUUGAUGAUUAUUCUUUCUUCUCUUUUGACCUACUGCUAGAAUGUGUUAUAUUAAGAAGCUUAUUAUUAAAUUGUCUUCUUGAGCAAAUGCUACUAAUUUGUGGUGGAUUAUACAUUUACUAAGUUGAAUUUUUAUAGUUUUUUAAAAUCUACAUUUCAUAUGGGAUUCUGAAGAUUUCUGUGUUAGGUUUUGUUAGGCUUGGGUAAUAGAUUUGAAACUUCUUUAAGUUUUUCUUUCUUCUAUAUAUUUUUUUUAGUAGGAAUGAUCCUUUCCUUGCCAAUUUGCAAGAAAUAAUUAGUAAAAUCAUCCAGUUCUACAUUCUUCCUUUGAAAUGAUUUUUAAGGAUUCUUAUGGAUUACCUCUUUUAAAACUUUCUUUAUAAAAUAUAUUGUGCACAUAAUGCAAUUUCCUUCCUAUUGUCAAAUAGGAGGACCAGGCCUUUGUGAGGCAUCCUUCUCUUGCCAGCUUCUGAGUCCCCGCCCCUCCCAAACAAUGAAGUGUAUGUAAGAGCCAUACAGCUGUCUCCUGGGAUCUUUUUAUCACCACAACCAUGAGUAGAUUGUUUUAUUUGGGGAGAUGCAAUUCCCAUUUUUCUCCUCCCUGCUUCACACUCCUCUAGAACAAUCCUGGACAUUCUUCUGAGAGGUCCUGCACCGCAUCAUAUGCAAGAAAUGAGACAUGGAUGAGAACCAGGGCGAGUGUAGGUGUGCAAGGGUGUGGCUUCAAAAGUAGGGCCCCCUGGAGAGGAGCACUUGCCUCAGAUUUUCAGUUGGUACAUUACUGAGUUGUGCAGUAGGCCAUCAGCACCAGAACACAUGACACUGGGAGAGUUCAAGGGAAACCCUUGUGGUCAUUUAUAUCAUGACAACACCAAUUUAAUUCUAGUGUUUUAGCCUAAAGGUGAUAUUCCUAUCAAAGACAUUUCUAAGGUACUAUUUAUGAAGUGCUGUGCUAUCAGCUCUGACCGACAGGAGAUGUUGGGCUUUGAGGGAUAUGAGCAAUAAUUUGGGAACAGUUUAUCUGGGGAAGUUUAUCUCCCCAAAGUAAAGCAAUUUGGGCAGGUUGGAAAUUCAGCAGAUGUAUGUGUCAUUCACUUAUUUUUUUCAAGUCAGAGUCCCUGGUGCCCACAUCCAACAUUGCUCCAAGUGAUCACAGCCUAGUAGAUUAGAUAAAUUAAGAUUAGGCUGAGUAUGAUAUGUACCAUAUGAAAUAAACUUCAUAAGGGAGGAUUAGGGGGUCUUUGAAAGGAAAGUGCCAGUUAAACUGAGCUCAUUAAGUGGGAAAAAAAAGGACUAUGCCAAGACAGGAAGAAUUUUGCCUAUACAGAGCAUUUUGUGAGCAAAGGCAGAGAAGUCAGAGAACUGGGACUCUGUGGAAGUGCUGGCUAUUGUGGUUGAACUUUUCUGUUGCACCUAAAAAGAACAGUCAGAGGUCAGUUUAGAGAGGCUGAUGGGACCAAAUUGGUGAAGGCUGGAACACUGAUCACAGAUUCUGGGACUUUAUUCUCCUAGCAGUGAAGAAGGAAAUGCUGCCAAGAGGCCUAUUCAUUCCUUAUGUGCAGGGCUCACUAGACAGGUGGAGCUAAUGCACCAGGGCCUCUCUGGUGACCAUUCAGAUGGUCAAAGCAGGAUGUCCCAGCCUCCAGGAAUCCACAGUUGAGGCAACUCCCUUACAGAGGUUCCUAUAUACAUUCUUCUUUAAUGAACAUCCUUCUACUUUCAGCCUUAUUCAGGAAAGAUUUUAAGAUAUCACCUUUAUCAUAUAAGCAUUGAACAUAUUUUAAAACAUAUGAGCAUAUAUCAAAACAUCUGAAGAUGUAUCCAGUGUUUGCCCAACAGAGAUAAUUGAUUCUGCAAUGUGUGCCAAAUUAUAUGAAACAUUCUUUUAGCAUCUAAAAAUAAUGUUUGGUGUUUCUUCAGAUAUAUUUUCAUUUUUGCUGAUAUCUGCCUC
rnacentral:lncRNA from 1 species